AGGAAAACGACAGUGUCCGGAAGCCUCUGCAAUGCCCUCUUAGGAUUGUCCAAGAAGAUGGCGAAACAUUUGCAGGCAGCGAUAGGAGUUGAGGGAAUGUGCGGGCUGAAACUAAGUAGAGACGGGGUUUCGCCAUGUUGGCCAGUCUGGUCUGGAACUCCUGACCUCAAGUGAUCCGCCCUCCUCGGCCUCCCAAAGUGCUGAGAUUACAGAAGCUGGAGCGCAAUAGUGCAAUCUCAGCUCACUGCAACCUCCACCUCCGGGUUUCAAGCUAUUCUUCUCCCUUAGCCUCCCAAGUAGCUGGGAUUACGGGCGCCUGCCACCACACCCAGGUAAUUUUUGUAUUUUUAGUAGAGACGGGUUUUCACCAUGUUGGUCAGGCUGGUCUCGAACUCCUGACCUUCAGAUGAUCCACCCGCCUCUGCCUUCCAAAGUACUGGGAUUAACAGGCGUGAGCCUCCACACCCAGCAACUAUUGCAUUUUAUUUUACUGUAUGUAUGUAAUACCUUAACCACACACAAAAAAUUACCUUGUUCAAAUUUUCCAGAAUUAGAAUUCUACCAGUUCCCCAAAGUCUUGCUGUUUCUCCAUGCCCCUUAGCCCUUACCAGCUGCUAGAGCUGUCUUUUCAUCCUUUGCACCCUGGCACACUCCUACUCAUCCCUCAGAACCCAAAUGUCACCUCUUAUCUCUAAAAUGUUCCUUGACAUCCUUCUGCCAAAUACUAGCCCCUUCCUCUCUGUUUACAAUGCAGAUUCGGUCCUAGUGAAUUACUGUUAUUUUCUACUCUGCCUCACUCAUGAAGGCACAAGACUUGAUUUACAUACGCUGUCCUCUUCAGGCCCUGCCACAGGGCCACAGAAGGACCUCACACAUUUCAUGUCAAUUGAGGUCACUGGACUGACCUGGGAAUGAGGAGCCUGGGUUGUUACUCCACUUUUGCACAUAGAUGUGUGACCUUGAUUAUUUUCCACCACGUCCUGGCCUCGGUUUCCUUAUCUGUUAAAAGGGAAUGACACCACAGGCCUUGCAAAAUUGAAGGGAUUAUUUCUUUGAAGACCAACAGGCGAUAGGGGGCAGUAGUGUCCCAGGAUCCAGUUUCCCGCUUCAGGUUUCAAGAAACAGGAGCAGCUGCAGUGAUGAAGUUUUCCCGACUAUGACAGUGUACAGUUGACCUUGAACAACGUGGGGGUUUGGGGCACCGACCCCUGCACAGUCCAAAAUCCUGGGGUCUUUUUUUUAAUUUGACAUGGAGUCUCCCUCUGUCGCCAAGGCUGGAGUGCAGUGGCGCGAUCUCAGCUCAUUGCAACCUCUGCCUCCCGGGUUGAAGCAAUUCUCCUGCCUCAGCCGCCCAAGUAGCUGAGAUUACGGGCGCCCGCCACCAUGCCCGGCUAAUUUUUGUAUUUUUAGUAGAGACGGGGUUUCACCAGGUUGGCCAAGCUGGUCACGAACUCCUGACCUCAGGUGAUCCACCCGCCUCGGCCUCCCAAAGUGCUGUGAUUACAGGCAUGAGCCACUGCGCCUGGCCUCAUUUUUGACUCCCCAAAAACAACUUUUUUUUUUUUUUUUUUUUUGAGAUGGAGUUUUGCUCUUGUCGCCCAGGCUGGAAUGCAAUGGCACGAUCUCGGCUCACUGCAACCUCCACUUCCCAGUUCAAGCAGUUCUGCCUCAGCUUCCUGAGUAGCUGGGAUUACAAGUGCCCACCACCACGCCUGGCUAAUUUUUAUAUUUUUAGUAGAGACUGGGUUUCGCCAUGUUGGCCAGGCUAGUCUCGACUCCUGACCUCAGGUGAUCUACCCGCUUUGGCCUCCCAAAGUGCUGGGAUUACAGGCGUGAGCCACUGCGCCCAGCCCAAAAACUUAACUAUUGACAGCAUACUGUUGACCAGAAGCCUUACCAAUGACAGUUGAUUAGCAUUUUGUUUGUUUGUUUUUCGUUUUUGUUUUGAGAUGGAAUCUCGCUCUGUUGCCCAGGCUGUAGUGCAGUGAUGUGAUCUCGGUUCACUGUAACCUCUGCCUCCUGGGUUCAAGUGAUUCUCCUGCCUCAACCUCCCAAGUAGCUGGGACCACAGGCACCCGCCACCAUGCCAGGCUAAUUUUUGUAGUUUUAGUACAGAUGGGGUUUCAACAUGUUGGCCAGGGUGGUCUCGAACUCCUGGCCUCAAGUGAUCCACCCACUCUGGCCUUCCAAAGUGCUGGGAUUACAGGCAUCAGCCACUGUGCCUGGCCAAUGACAGUUGAUUAGCAUAUUUUGUAUGUUAUAUAUAUUACAUGCUGUAUCCUUACAAUAAACCAGAGAAAAGAAAUUGUUAUUAAG